rnacentral:rRNA from 1 species
GGCAUGCUUAACACAUGCAAGUCGCACGAGAAAAAUUCUUCGGGAAUUGAGUAAAGUGGCGCACGGGUGAGUAACACGUAAGAACCUGCCCUUGGGUUUGGAAUAACAUCGCGAAAGUGGUGCUAAUACCAGAUAAUAUCUACGGAUCAAAGGAGGCUUUGCUUCUGCCUGGGGAGGGGCUUGCGCCCCAUUAGCUUGUUGGUGAGGUAAACGGCUCACCAAUGCUUCGAUGGGUAGCCGGCCUGAGAGGGUGUACGGCCACACUGGAACUGAGACACGGUCCAGACUCCUACGGGAGGCAGCAGUGGGGAAUAUUGGGCAAUGGGCGAAAGCCUGACCCAGCAAUGCCGUGUGGGUGAUGAAGCCCCUAGGGGUGUAAAACCCUUUUAUAAGGGAAGAACCCCGAAAGGAGUAAUAUACCUUUCGGCUGACGGUACCUUAUGAAUAAGCCCCGGCUAACUCCGUGCCAGCAGCCGCGGUAAUACGGAGGGGGCAAGCGUUGUUCGGAAUUACUGGGCGUAAAGGGCGUGUCGGCGGCCUUGUAGGUCAGAUGUGAAAUCCCCAAGCUUAACUUGGGAAUUGCGUUUGAAACCAUGGGGCUUGAGGCUGGGAGAGGAAAGCGGAAUUCCUGGUGUAGCGGUGAAAUGCGUAGAUAUCAGGAGGAACACCGGUGGCGAAGGCGGCUUUCUGGACCAGUUCUGACGCUUAGGCGCGAAAGCGUGGGGAGCGAACGGGAUUAGAUACCCCGGUAGUCCACGCCGUAAACGUUGAGCACUAGGUGUAGCGGGUAUCGACCCCUGCUGUGCCGCAGUAAACGCAUUAAGUGCUCCGCCUGGGGAUUACGGUCGCAAGACUGAAACUCAAAGGAAUUGACGGGGGCCCGCACAAGCGGUGGAGUAUGUGGUUUAAUUCGAUGCAACGCGAAGAACCUUACCGGGGCUUGACAUGUUGGUGGUAGGAAUCCGAAAGGUGACCGACCCUUCGGGGAGCCCUCACAGGUGCUGCAUGGCUGUCGUCAGCUCGUGUCGUGAGAUGUUGGGUUAAGUCCCGCAACGAGCGCUACCCCUACCCUUAGUUGCCAUCAGUUCGGCUGGGAACUCUAGGGGAACUGCCGGUGACAAACCGGAGGAAGGUGGGGAUGACGUCAAGU